UGCAAGUCGAGCGGACAGAUGGGAGCUUGCUCCCUGAUGUUAGCGGCGGACGGGUGAGUAACACGUGGGUAACCUGCCUGUAAGACUGGGAUAACUCCGGGAAACCGGGGCUAAUACCGGAUGGUUGUUUGAACCGCAUGGUUCAAACAUAAAAGGUGGCUUCGGCUACCACUUACAGAUGGACCCGCGGCGCAUUAGCUAGUUGGUGAGGUAACGGCUCACCAAGGCGACGAUGCGUAGCCGACCUGAGAGGGUGAUCGGCCACACUGGGACUGAGACACGGCCCAGACUCCUACGGGAGGCAGCAGUAGGGAAUCUUCCGCAAUGGACGAAAGUCUGACGGAGCAACGCCGCGUGAGUGAUGAAGGUUUUCGGAUCGUAAAGCUCUGUUGUUAGGGAAGAACAAGUACCGUUCGAAUAGGGCGGUACCUUGACGGUACCUAACCAGAAAGCCACGGCUAACUACGUGCCAGCAGCCGCGGUAAUACGUAGGUGGCAAGCGUUGUCCGGAAUUAUUGGGCGUAAAGGGCUCGCAGGCGGUUUCUUAAGUCUGAUGUGAAAGCCCCCGGCUCAACCGGGGAGGGUCAUUGGAAACUGGGGAACUUGAGUGCAGAAGAGGAGAGUGGAAUUCCACGUGUAGCGGUGAAAUGCGUAGAGAUGUGGAGGAACACCAGUGGCGAAGGCGACUCUCUGGUCUGUAACUGACGCUGAGGAGCGAAAGCGUGGGGAGCGAACAGGAUUAGAUACCCUGGUAGUCCACGCCGUAAACGAUGAGUGCUAAGUGUUAGGGGGUUUCCGCCCC
rnacentral:rRNA from 1 species